UACGUAGGGCGCAAGCGUUAUCCGGAAUUAUUGGGCGUAAAGAGCUCGUAGGCGGUUUGUCGCGUCUGACGUGAAAGUCCGGGGCUCAACUCCGGAUCUGCGGUGGGUACGGGCAGACUAGAGUGAUGUAGGGGAGACUGGAAUUCCUGGUGUAGCGGUGAAAUGCGCAGAUAUCAGGAGGAACACCGGUGGCGAAGGCGGGUCUCUGGGCAACAACUGACGCUGAGGAGCGAAAGCGUGGGGAGCGAACAGG
rnacentral:rRNA from 1 species